CUCCGUUUCAGAAAUCUCAAUCCUCACCUAAUAAAGUGAAGAGAAUGCUCUACUCUGGGAGGCUGAAACAGGACAAUACAAGUUCAAGCCAAAUCUGGGCAACUCAGUGACUUAGAGAGACCUUACCUCUACAAAGGGAGGGAAGGGCUGGGGAUGUAAGCCAACAGGCCCUGGGUUCAAGUCCCAGUACCACAAAAACAAAACAACAAUAAAAUGAACAGAAUGAAUGGAUAGAAUAGUAUAGAAAACUCAUCACAAGAAGAAAGAAAUAGUUUCAUAAAUCCCUUGUUUUAUAUUUAACAGUUCCUUAUACUGGACCACAGACGCCUAUAUACCAUGCUUUCCUAAUGAAAAUGUGAUCUCAGCAGCCUACCUGGGGGAAUACAGGAAGGAAUCUGUGUUCACCGCUGCAUGUGACCAACUGCAAGGUGUAUGAUGUGUGUCAAAGUGUAAAUGGGUGUGUUUUACCCAUGGUACAUGCCGUGGCACGUUUUUGUAUAUUUAUAAUUUCUUUUACUCAAUGUUUUCUUCUGAUUCUUCUUGUAGAAUUGGCCCAGUUCAGUACAAUGACGCAUGAAAAUCUGCUUUUACAACUUUGAGAGGAGGCUGGCUACCGAUGAUGACUUGGGUUACAUAAGAAGUGAGCACGCUAUGACAGAGAAAUACACACUGACGACCUUGAUUCAGAUAAGGAAGAAAACAGUCACGAGGAUGAUUAUGGGGUUAAAUUCUCUCAUGGAAAGCUUCGCUCCCUGUGUCAACCCAAGUCCCACCGGAGGAUCGCGAAAGUGGAACAGAAAGAAGGAAAAUGAAUGAAAUCAUCUGUCUGAAUGGUGAGAUCCCCUGGGUUGCUCUCCCUAGUUUGUCUUUGGAAGGAGACCCAGGGAGGGAAUGUAUUAACUUCUUAGGUGACUGUGUGUGUGAAAGAGACUUGGUUAGGAGAGUGAGUGGAACAAGCUCGGGUAGUCUCCUCUACAUCAAAAGAAAGGGAGGGGGGCUUGUGCUUAAAGAGCCCUCCAGGUGAAUAAACAAGGCCGUUUUCUGGAACUGCACCCCACCCUUUGUCUUGCAUCACUGGAGGGAGGGAAUAUCUAAUGGUUAUGGGAAAUGCUAAUACUAAACCAACUGUUCUUAAGUGCAUAAUUCAAAAUUUUGGUACAGAUUUUGUGGGCAACUAUAAGAUAAAACUGCAACCAAAGAUGCUUAAAAAUUUUGUGAGUUAUCAUGGUCUCAGCUAAGCCAGACUUGGCCCCCAGAAAAAAACUCUAGACAAAAAAAAGUUAAUCUGCCUUUGUUUUACUUACCUGAGACUUUGAUAACAUGGAGCCUCUUGUGCUCUAGGAGCUGCUCAAGCUUCUGCUCUGCAGUAAUCAGCUGCUAGUGAGAACUCUUUAGUUUUGUUUGUAAAACACCUGCUUGCUAAAUCUGCUGGUUUCCUGUGGUAAACUUGCCUCUCAGAAAAUGUGACAUCCUUACAGGCAAAUCCCACCGUUUCCCCUUUGGAGGAGGUCGAGCUAUCUCCCCUCCACUUGAGUUGCUAAGAUAGAUGGUAUGGAGGAGGUGGGGGCAAAACAAAAUUGUUUAGCUUUACUGCACUGAAGGGUGCAAAUGGGAAAGCAUGAUGGGACUCAGAAAAAAGAUGAAACAGGGCUUGCACUCAGAUUAAAAAAAAAUAAAAUGAAAAAAUCCCUAAUGGAUUAAAAUCAGGUAGGAAAAUUCUGAAAGACAAAAAUAUAAGGAAAAAAAAAACAAACACUGCAAGCCAGAAAAAAACUGCAAUUGUGUCUUACCAGACAUCAA
rnacentral:lncRNA from 1 species